UAUUUAAGCCUUUUGAGUAUAUAUUCUCACCUUUGUUAUGAAAUAUUUAUCCAAUGUUGUACUUUUCAAACACAAAUACAAAGUUAGUCGACUUCAACACGAAUAUCAAAUAUUGUUGCAGUGAAAAAAGAAAAAGAAGCUUAACAUGAUCAUUCAUCUUCAAUCCACUGAGAAUUGGAUAGCUACUAUGGCAUGAUUUGUUGUCUCUUUCAUCACACAGUAGUUUUUGUUCGGAUCCUACCAUGCCAAGGCCCACAGUUGGUUGACUACUUGAACUAAUUUCAAUGUGGAUUCAGUUUCCCUUCUCCAUUUUCCCUUUCCCUACGGUGAUUUAUGCAGAUGAUAUUACGAGAUCAAACUAGUUGAAUAUGCAACAACAAUCCAAGGUCGCAUAUCCAGACGAGGUAAGGAGUAUAAAGCAAUUAGUUCAUAAGAAUCACUGUGUAAACAUUUAAUAUCAAGCUCUCUAAACUCUACUAGUAAAUUAUACUGAGUAUUUUGAGCGUACUAAUUUGUGUGAGAGCAUAAUGACAUGCACACAUUUUUCAGCUUUUCCAUUAUUUAAACUAUUUCCUCCUUAAAUUUCUGUUUGCUACAUUUAUUUAGUUAAAAUAAACAUGUAGUUUAUACCAUCAUAGCUAGCUAGCUAGCAUUGUUGAUCUA